rnacentral:rRNA from 1 species
AAUAGAUACCCUGGUAGUCCGUGCCGUAAACGAUGUCUACUAGCCGUUGGGGCCUUUGAGGCUUUAGUGGCGCAGCUAACGCGAUAAGUAGACCGCCUGGGGAGUACGGUCGCAAGACUAAAACUCAAAUGAAUUGACGGGGGCCCGCACAAGCGGUGGAGCAUGUGGUUUAAUUCGAUGCAACGCGAAGAACCUUACCUGGUCUUGACAUAGUAAGAACUUUCCAGAGAUGGAUUGGUGCCUUCGGGAACUUACAUACAGGUGCUGCAUGGCUGUCGUCAGCUCGUGUCGUGAGAUGUUGGGUUAAGUCCCGCAACGAGCGCAACCCUUUUCCUUAUUUGCCAGCACUUCGGGUGGGAACUUUAAGGAUACUGCCAGUGACAAACUGGAGGAAGGCGGGGACGACGUCAAGUCAUCAUGGCCCUUACGACCAGGGCUACACACGUGCUACAAUGGUCGGUACAAAGGGUUGCUACCUAGCGAUAGGAUGCUAAUCUCAAAAAGCCGAUCGUAGUCCGGAUUGGAGUCUGCAACUCGACU